CCAUCGGGCUUUGCUUGGUGGUGAGAGUGGCGAACGGGUGAGUAAUGCGUGACCGACCUGCCCCAUACACCGGAAUAGCUCCUGGAAACGGGUGGUAAUGCCGGAUGUUCCAGUUGAUCGCAUGGUCUUCUGGGAAAGCUUUCGCGGUAUGGGAUGGGGUCGCGUCCUAUCAGCUUGACGGCGGGGUAACGGCCCACCGUGGCUUCGACGGGUAGCCGGCCUGAGAGGGCGACCGGCCACAUUGGGACUGAGAUACGGCCCAGACUCCUACGGGAGGCAGCAGUGGGGAAUAUUGCACAAUGGGCGCAAGCCUGAUGCAGCGACGCCGCGUGAGGGAUGGAGGCCUUCGGGUUGUAAACCUCUUUUAUCGGGGAGCAAGCGUGAGUGAGUUUACCCGUUGAAUAAGCACCGGCUAACUACGUGCCAGCAGCCGCGGUAAUACGUAGGGUGCAAGCGUUAUCCGGAAUUAUUGGGCGUAAAGGGCUCGUAGGCGGUUCGUCGCGUCCGGUGUGAAAGUCCAUCGCUUAACGGUGGAUCCGCGCCGGGUACGGGCGGGCUUGAGUGCGGUAGGGGAGACUGGAAUUCCCGGUGUAACGGUGGAAUGUGUAGAUAUCGGGAAGAACACCAAUGGCGAAGGCAGGUCUCUGGGCC
rnacentral:rRNA from 1 species